rnacentral:tRNA from 1 species
UGAGGCACUAGUAAAUUAGAUUACAUCGCCUUGUCAAGACGAAAUCGCAGGUGAAACCCCUGCGUGCCUCAA